GAUGAACGCUGGCGGCGUGCCUAAUACAUGCAAGUCGAGCGAACAGACGAGGAGCUUGCUCCUCUGACGUUAGCGGCGGACGGGUGAGUAACACGUGGAUAACCUACCUAUCAGACUGGGAUAACUUCGGGAAACCGGAGCUAAUACCGGAUAAUAUAUUGAACCGCAUGGUUCAAUAGUGAAAGACGGUUUUGCUGUCACUUAUAGAUGGAUCCGCGCCGCAUUAGCUAGUUGGUAAGGUAACGGCUUACCAAGGCAACGAUGCGUAGCCGACCUGAGAGGGUGAUCGGCCACACUGGAACUGAGACACGGUCCAGACUCCUACGGGAGGCAGCAGUAGGGAAUCUUCCGCAAUGGGCGAAAGCCUGACGGAGCAACGCCGCGUGAAUGAUGAAGGUCUUCGGAUCGUAAAACUCUGUUAUUAGGGAAGAACAAAUGUGUAAGUAACUAUGCACGUCUUGACGGUACCUAAUCAGAAAGCCACGGCUAACUACGUG
rnacentral:rRNA from 1 species